rnacentral:rRNA from 1 species
UACGAAGGGUGCAAGCGUUACUCGGAAUUACUGGGCGUAAAGCGUGCGUAGGUGGUUUGUUAAGUCUGUUGUGAAAGCCCCGGGCUCAACCUGGGAAUGGCAAUGGAUACUGGCAAGCUAGAGUGCGGUAGAGGGUAGUGGAAUUCCCGGUGUAGCGGUGAAAUGCGUAGAGAUCGGAGGAACACCAGUGGCGAAGGCGGCUACCUGGACCGAGCACUGAGCACUGAGGCACGAAGCGUGGGAGCAAACAGGAUU